rnacentral:lncRNA from 1 species
GUUCACUCUCUCAUUCCUUGCAACUCCAGGGAAGGUGUUUAUUUUGCUUGGUGCUCAGUGUAAAGUUAAAUUACAAUAAAAUAAUAAUAAAAAGAAAAGAUAAGGGAUAAAAGAUAAAAGAAGAAAGAAUGGCUAGCCACAUUUUCUGCUGCUAACUGAAGCAGCUAAUUGGUCUGUCCUGGGAGCACUCCUCUGGAUAAAUCACAGACCUUCACUUGCUGUGCAGACACCAAGAAGUCCACGGAGAAAUGUUACUGUUCCAGUGUAAACUACUACUCAUAUAAUUCCUCCAUCCUCAGUUUACAUGUUUGCUCUCCACCUUCGACCAGCUGCUUUCGGCGUAGGCUGAUGGACACAAAGGAGGAGAGAAGCCACCUUGCCUGCCUCCUCGCUGGCUGGGGACACGUCACAACCUUUCUGCAAACCAAGCACGAAGCCAUGGACUGCUCCGGAGCUCAGCAACAGCACGGGCUCACCCAAAUGAUGGUAGUGUUACUGCCUGCGGGGUGAAAACGGCAGAGGUGGGGGUUACGAGCGUGCCUGUGAGUGUGUGCGUGUGUGAGAGCAGCAGGAAGGAGACUCUUGGCUGCGGUUUCAUCAGCCCAGGUGCUCCGAGAAGGGAAGGUGCCACGUGUGAACCCGACCUCUCCGGGGAGCGUGUCAGCGCCCGCCGCCUCGCGUGACACCGUUCUGCUGAUGCUCUGCCCCAUUUCGGCCGCUCGCUGCCUCCCUGCAAAGCUGCUGCCAGCGUCAGGCUGGCAGGCAAUUGUGUUCUUGGAAGUGACAGACCAGGAAAUUCCGAUUGAAACGCCCGUUUAGGAGGCUCUCCUCGGCUAACGGUGCGGUCUGCAUCAAUCGGUAAAGCCGUGCCGUGAAAAGUCAUUUCAUUUCGUGGAGGAUUUCCAUAUAGCAAAAUCUGGUUUGAUUCCAGAUUGGAAUGAAACCUAAAUUCCAACAUUUUCCGUGAAAAGGAAAACCCUUGGGGUCACUGAAUUUCUGGCAGGCUGCUGGAGAAGGGAGGGUGCUGGAAAAGCCUGGGUCUCCCAUCUUGGGGCUUUCCAUCUGACUGGCGGGACUGGAACCAGUGAGCCUGAAAACUACAGCAUUUCCCACUCUCUCCAGAAGCUGCAAGGCUGCGAGCUGGUGAUUCAGUUCAUCAUUCCCCAGCAGUCUGCGUGGUGAGCUCCGGAGAGCUCGGUGCUAUAGCCCCAGCUCUUCUCUCCCUCCUCUGCCUGUGAGUUGGUCCAGUCUGCUGCCUCUGUUUGCUUCAUGGCUUUGGAUUUCUAGAUGCAUUCCCAAAGUGCCGACCCUCUCUGAGCACCCCCUUCUGAGAACUGAGACCUUGGCAUCCAGCUCUGCAGGGCUUUUGGGAGCCGAGUGCCGGGUUCAUGUGCAAAAACGCCGUGGCUGAUUUGUCUUUGGUGCCAGCUCAAAUCUUUGUCAGGGCUGAACUUGACCUCUGUGUAACGGCUGACUGUCACUGAUGCAGAUCCUGAGACUGGUGUCAGGUCUCAGAGACUCCCUGAUGGCUUAAUCAAACCCUUUCCCAGAGCAGCAGUUCUGUGGGUACUCUGGCAGAUUGCCCCUUCGGGGACACACGAUAGCCCAAGUAUAUAAGUAUAUACUGCAGCCUUUGCAUAAGGUUUCCAGCCACAUCUCCACCCUCCCCCUUAUCGCCCCCUUGACAGGAUUUAUUUUAGGCAGUGCAAGAGAGAUACAGAUCUGGGCAAAACAAUGCCAUAUCUGCAUGCCAUAUCCAUGCCUCGGUUUUCUCAUCAUACUGGGACAUUCUUGAGUCCUUUCUCAGGAGCCCAGAGCCUCUUAUCUCUGGACCUGACUCUACAACAGGGUCCGCAGCAAUUGUGCUCUCCCUUUUGUGAGCUCUAACCCCUUCUUUUUUCCAGCAUUAACAUCAGACAGUCAAAAUGAUGCCACUUGGUGCUAUUUUCUUUAGCACAUCUGUCACACUGUCUAAACCUAUUGAAAAUGUCAGUGACCCAUCUAGUCCCUCACCUAAGAUGGACCUUCACCCCUCUUUCACAUGUAUACAUACACGCUUCAUCCAUCCAUUGCCUAAACACUAGCCCCAGGAAAGGUCUCUGAAAGCAAGAGGUCACGUAGCAAUCAAGAACUGGACAUUUUCUGUAAUCGGAGUCUCUUCAGAGGAUUUGGUGUAGAUGAGUCAACAUUCUCCAAUGGGCAGAAAAUACCUCCAUUGGACAGUUUCUGACCUCAGAGAACUAUUAAGUGCUGUACUUGUGAUUCACUCCCAGAAUGAGCACGCCGCGUUGAAGUGAUUGGAAGAGGGAAAAAGGUUUCUAAGGAUGUGAAAUGUUGGCACCAUUUUCAAUUUUAAACGUGCCUGAGGAGAUGAGGUGUUCUGUUAGAAUAUUAUGUCAAAGCUGACAGACUCUACAUCUACCUCAGGAGCCAAAUCAUGCUUUUAAGGGCCUUGUCUGAGCAUCUGAGCAUCUUCAGCUCCACCUGAAGCCAAUGAGGGUUGCCGCUGCUUAAAAUUUCUGAAAAAUAGGCUUAAUGUGCACUGGGCUGUGUUGGUGUUUAACCAAGGGUUUAGGAAGCACAGUCUUUUCACUCCCUCUGCAGCUUUGGGGCAAUCUGUUUUCCCACAACAGUAAAGUACAGAACACUACUAAGAAUUUAUAUAUUUUUUGAAUGGUGGUAGAGAUUUGAUGGAAACCUCCAUAUGUAGGUCUGGAUACAGGUCUGCUUUUUUUUUUUGUUUGUUUUUCCUUUUUCAUUUGACCAUCUAGAAACUUUUAACAGGAGGAGACCAGAAGAGUUCAGCUUGUUUACCUUGUCAAAACGCAGGCUGCAAGAGGUUGUGGGAGUGGUGUAUAAAUACUUGGUAAACAGUGGAAAGAUCAUUGACGGUAAAAGACAAUGUUAGCUCAGAAAAGCUCAAGCUGGAAACCAGGUGUUUCUAAAUGGACAGUGUCUUUUGACGGGAAAUAAUAGAGUUUUCCACCCUUCUUUUUAAAGACAGAGCUUUAUCAUUUAUUCAGAUUCAGAUACAGUAUGCCUGACAGCCACAGCAGGGAACAAAAAUCAGACGCCCAGAAAAUCUUCCCAGCUCUAAGGUCCUAUAAGCAUCUUUUCUGCAAAAGCCUGUGCUAUUGAACUGAUAGAAAGCUGCCAGAAAAGGAACACUAUUUGAGCCUAAGUCUGCUCGUGGUGAAUUCAUUUGAAAAUUCAAGCAGAUGAUUUCAGGGUAAUUAUUAUUAUGUUGCUUGCUUAGCUGCAGCUGUGAUUUGCUUUUUGCAUAGUGUAGACAGAGCUUUACUGAAUGUUUCCCGGCACCUUCUGUGAUAAUUGACAGCUAUAUGCAAACCCUGCCUAUUGUUUCAGGUAGCACAACGUGUUCUUAAUUGCAUGUUUCAGCUUAGAAAUGGAUUGAAAAAUGGAAAGACAAAUAAAACAAUAAAAUCUUUAGAA